UACAGAGGUCCCAAGCGUUGUUCGGAUUCAUUGGGCGUAAAGGGUGCGUAGGCGGCGCGGUAAGUCGGGUGUGAAAUCUCGGGGCUUAACUCCGAAACUGCAUUCGAUACUGCCGUGCUUGAGGACUGGAGAGGAGACUGGAAUUCCUGGUGUAGCGGUGAAAUGCGCAGAUAUCAGGAGGAACACCGGUGGCGAAGGCGGAUCUCUGGGCCAUUACUGACGCUGAGGAGCGAAAGCGUGGGGAGCGAACAGG
rnacentral:rRNA from 1 species